rnacentral:rRNA from 1 species
UACGGAGGGUGCGAGCGUUGUCCGGAAUCACUGGGCGUAAAGGGCGCGUAGGCGGUUCGUUAAGUUGCUGGUGAAAUCCCGGGGCUCAACUCCGGGGCUGCCGGCAAGACUGGCGGGCUAGAGCACGGUAGAGGCGGAUGGAAUUCCCGGUGUAGCGGUGGAAUGCGUAGAUAUCGGGAAGAAUACCGGUGGCGAAGGCGUUCCGCUGGGCCGUUGCUGACGCUGAGGCGCGACAGCGUGGGGAGCAAACAGG